ACGGGAGGCAGCAGUGGGGAAUAUUGCACAAUGGGCGCAAGCCUGAUGCGGCGAUGCCGCGUGAGGGAAGAAGGUUUUCGGAUUGUAAACCUCUGUCAACAGGGACGUAAAUGACGGUACCUGUGAAGGAAGCUCCGGCUAACUACGUGCCAGCAGCCGCGGUAAUACGUAGGGAGCAAGCGUUAUCCGGAAUUACUGGGUGUAAAGGGAGUGUAGGCGGGACUGUAAGUCAGAUGUGAAAUAUGCCGGCUCAACUGGCAGACUGCAUUUGAAACUGCGGUUCUUGAGUGAAGUAGAGGUAAGCGGAAUCCCUAGUGUAGCGGUGAAAUGCGCAGAUAUUAGGAGGAACAUCAGUGGCGAAGGCGGCUUACUGGGCUUUAACUGACGCUGAGGCUCGAAAGCGUGGGGAGCAAACAGGAUUAGAUACCCUGGUA
rnacentral:rRNA from 1 species